CGGCAAGGGCGACAGUCCGCCCGCCCUCUCUGCGCCUCUCCCGGCCCCACGCCGCCACCUGGGCGCACUCACCGUGCCUUGAGCUCCUUGAACUCCUCGCGCACUUUGCUCAGCUCCAGCUGCAGGCGGGCGCGCUCCUUGGCCACCGAGUCGAGGGUCUUGCGGGCAUCCCCGAGCUCUGCCUCGUAGGCGGCCUUGAUGCCUGACACUUCGCGGCUGACCACCUCCUCAGACUCGGUGAUGCGAAGGCGCAGACCUGCGUUCUCCGUCUCCAGCGAGCGCACACGGUCGAUGUAGACCGCCAAGCGGUCAUUGAGCUCCUGCAGGUGUAGAUCACCAGUCCCAGAAGAAGCAGGAGAAAGCAGGGAAGGCCAGGUCCAGAGGAGCGGAGCCUGCUGGGGGUGGCCCAGGUUCGAUCCCUAAUCAAGGAACUAGGUCCUGCAUGCCGCAACUACAAGAGCCCGCAUGCCGCAACUAAAGAUCCUCCACGCAGCAACGAAGAUCCCACGUGCCGCAACUAAGACCCAGCACAGCCAAAUAAAUAA